UACGAAGGGGGCUAGCGUUGCUCGGAAUCACUGGGCGUAAAGCGCGCGCAGGCGGCUAUCCAAGUCAGUGGUGAAAGCCCCGGAGCUCAACUCCGGAACUGCCAUUGAAACUGUUUAGCUUGAGGACGAGAGAGGUGAGUGGAAUUCCCAGUGUAGAGGUGAAAUUCGUAGAUAUUGGGAAGAACACCGGUGGCGAAGGCGGCUCACUGGCUCGUAUCUGACGCUCAGGCGCGACAGCGUGGGGAUCAAACGAG
rnacentral:rRNA from 1 species